CCCAAUUCAGACUAAUUUCAGAUCAUUUUUAAUGUUAUAAUAAAAUUGUUUUCUAUUGUUUCAAGACCAAAAUCAGACUUUUUUUCUGUCAAAAUCAUUU